rnacentral:lncRNA from 1 species
ACAUGUCCAGCGAGCGGUUGUAGCCCUGGUUGAGCAGCACCUCGGGUGCCAGGUAGGCCGGCGUGCCCACCACUGAGCGGCGGAACGACUUCUCGCCGAUGAUGCGAGCAAAGCCAAAGUCACACAGCUUCACCUGCAGAGGGCAAGGGAUGGAGGCUCCACCAGGUGAUGGAGCCGCACCCACCCCAGCAUCCCCACCACACCACCCUCCAUGGUAUUCCAGAGAAAGCUGGAUGCUGGUUUGAAUCCAGGCUCCUUGGCUCACUAGCUGAGCAACCCUGGGCAGGUGACUUCCCCCCUCUGUGCCUCAGUUUCCCCAUCUAUAGGAAGAAGAGCAGAAGAGCACCUAUCUCAGAGGACUGCCAUGAUGGUUAGUGAAUUAAACCAUCCAAAGCCCACAGGACAAUAUUUGGCAUUCAGUUGGUGCACAAUAAAUGCUAGCUGCUGCUAUACCUCUGCCACCUCCAAUGGGUCGCUGUUUCCUCUUUUGAAUAAUGCAGAUUUUUUUUAAUAGCCUCAAAAUAUACAUGAUUGGGGCGUGGUGGCUCAUGCCUGCAAUCUCAGCACUUUGGGAGGCCAAGGAAGAUGGAUCAUUUGAGGUCAGGAGUUCGAGACCAGCCUGGCCAACACGAUGAAACCCCAUCUCUACUAAAAAUACAAAAAUUAGCACACGCCUGCGGUCCCAGCUACUCAGGAGGCUGAGGCAGGAGAAUCGCCUGAACCUGGGAGGCAGAGGUUGCAGUGAGCCGAGAUCGCACCACUGCAUUCCAGCCUGGGUGACACAGCGAGACUCCGUCUCAAAAAACAAACAAAAAAAACAUGAAACAUAAUGGAGAUCUUAACAGUCCCUACCUUAAAGGGUGCUUGUUUAGACUGAAAGAGAAAUGUAUGCAACGUGUUAGGAGCAGUGUCUAGCACAGAAUGACCCUCGAUGAUCUCAGGUCAAGGACCUAAUUUCUCCAGGCCUUGAUUUUGUCAUCUGUAUUGGGGGGUUGUUGAUAGCAGCCUCCUCUCAGGCUUUCCUGGGGAUUAGGUAGGAGUGGGUGCUGACUGCGGUAGCUGGCAGACAGUAUGGUGUAUGCCUACCUUUCCUUCAUUGUUUUAUUUUUUUUGAGACGGAGUCUCGCUCUGUCGCCCAGGCUGGAGUGCAGUAGCGUGAUCUUGGCUCACUGCAACCUCUGCCUCCCAGGUUCAAGCAAUUCUCCUGCCUCAGCCUCCCGAAUAGCUGGGAUCACAGGGACCCGCCACCAUGCCUGGCUAAUUUUUGUAUUUUUAGUAGAGACGACAUUUCACCACAUCAGCCAGGCUGGUCCCAAACUCCUGACCUCAGGUGUUCCUCCUGCCUCAGCCUCCCAAAGUGCUGGGAUUACAGGCAUGAGACACCACACCUGGCCCCAUACCCUCAUUGUUAAUGGCUGCAGUCUAAGGUCAUGGACAGGCUUUGGAGCCAGCAAGACCUGGGUUCAAGGUCUUGCUCUGCUGCCUACCUCUCAGCCUUGGUUCCCAGCUCUGUUCAUGUACUGUCCUUUCCCUGUUCAAAACCCUUCCUUGGCUCACUGUUGCUUGCAGGAUAGAGCCCCAAAUCCUUGAAGCCUGAAGCCUCUGUCACCUUUGAAACCAGCCACGCCUCAACCCCUGACCUGAAUCUCAAUGUGACAGCCACCCUUUCCUGAGGUACUCUGCCCUUUCUACAGAUCUUAUAGCUCUUUCUCUUUUCCAAGAUCUAUACUUUCCUAUGGAUCUUUUUUAAAAUUUUUAUUUUAUUAUUAUUUUUUUGAGACGAGUCUUGGUCUGUCGUCCAGGCUGGAGUGCAGUGGUGUGAUCUCGGCUCACCGCAACCUCCACCCUCCUGGGUUCAAGCAAUUCUCCUGCUUCAGCCUCCUGAGAACCUGGGAUUACAGGUUCCCGCCACCAUGCCCAGCUAAUUUUUGUAUUUUUAGUAGAGACGGGGUUUCGCCAUGUUAGCCAGACUGGUAUCCAACUCCAGACCUCAAGUGAUCUGCCCGCCUCAGCCUCCCAAAGUGCUGGGAUUAUAGGCAUGAGCCGCUGCGCUCAACCAGAAAACUUUUAAAUAUGUUUGGAACAACUUGGGCAUGUCAAUCUAUUUCCCCAACUGUUAUACACACCAGAUUUUGAAGACAUAGUAUGAAAAACAAGCAGAAUGUUUCAUUGAGUUUUGUUUCUUUUUUAAGAGACAGGGUCUUGCUCUGUCACCCCAGCUGGAGUGCAGUGGCACAAUCAUAGCUCACUUCAGACUUGAACUCCUGGUCUCAAGCCGUCUUCCCAUCUUGGCCUCCCAAAGUGCGGGGAUUAUAGGCAUGAGCCACCUCCCCUGGCCUUAAUAAUUUUUAUGUUGACUACAUGUUGAAUAAAGUGCUAUAUGUUGGGAUAAACUAUAUAUAUAUAUAUAUAUAUAUUUUUUUUUUUUUUUUUGAGACAGAGUCUCGCUCUCUCGCUCUGUCACCCAGGCUGGAGUGCAGUGGCGUGAUCUCGGCUAACUGCAAGCUCCGCCUCCCGGGUUCAUGCCAUUCUCCUAACUCAGCCUCCCAAGUAGCUGGGACUACAGGCGCACACCACCACGCCCCGCUAAUUUUUUUUUGUAUUUUUAGUAGAGAAGGGGUUUCACCGUGUUAGCCAGGAUGGUCUCGAUCUCCUGACCUCGUGAACUGCCCGCCUCGGCCUCCCAAAGUGCUGGGAUUACAGGCGUGAGCCACCGCACCCAGUCUUUUUUUUUUUUUUUUAAGAGACAGCUCUCACUCUGUUAUUCAGGCUGGAGUGCAGUGGCACAAUCAUAGCUCACUGCAGCCACCAACUCCUGGGCUCAAGCAAUCCUCCCAUCUCAGCCUCCUAAGCAGCUAGGACUAUAGGCGCACGCCACCAUUCCCGGCUAUUUUUUUUUUCAUUUUUUGUAUAGAUGAGGUCUCGCUAUGUUGCCCAGGCUGGUCUCAAACUCUUGGGCUCAAAUGAUCCUCCUGCCUCAGCCUCUCAAAAUGCUGAUUACAGGCAAGAGCCACUGUGCCUCGCCCCCACAUCUUGAUUAGUAUAAUCCCCUUCCCCACCCCCACCCCGGCCAUCAGUGUUGCCUGGAUUUCCCCAAAUCAGGAGGGGACAUAACUGACCUGAGGAAAUGGGUCUGCUGAUGCCAGCAACACGUUUUCUGGUUUCAAGUCACAGUGGACAAUGUUCUUGAAGUGAAGGUGUCUCAAAGCCACCAGGAUCUGAGGGGAGCAGAUGGGCCCAGUAAGAAAGGUAGAUAGGUACUCAGCCAAAUCCCAACCUCA